GGAAUUGGAGUCAGUGGCUGCUUUGUGAAGAAGAAAGAGUUAGUGCUCUGAGGAGCAGCCCACCAGAAACACCAAGAAGGUGUGGAACUUUUGUGAUAAGGAGGCAACAGUAUGGAACCCCUGCAAUAAGAUGACAACACAAGAAAAUCAUGUUUGUGGUAUUUAUUUGUUGCCAGUGAUGCUAGGGGUGCAGUGAAACAAAAUGAAAUCUGCUUCUAAUACAUCUUCAGAUUCCCAUUAGGUUUUGGAGCUGCUUUGAAGCAUAUAUUGACAAAGCAGAGCAUUCAGUGUUGUGUGGAUUCCUCCUGUUCUUUGCUAAGAAGCUGCAGACUUCUGGCUUCACCAACACCUAUUGUUGCAGAAGCUGGCAUGUCCCAACCUUAAUUUCAUGAAUAUCUGGGGUGAAAGUCAUUCAUGGAAAAAGAGUUCCUCCAACAAAGUUGAGCAAAAAAUGCCCCAUCUAAAAUCUCAUGGGAAGUUUGGUUACAGACCCCAGAACCUGCAAGAGAGGGAAGGAACCCUUUGUUUAUUGACAUUUCUUCUUGAGCAGCCUCCACAGCUGCAAGAAGAGCUGUGGUGCUGUUCUCCAAAGCAGAGCUCUUUUGUGAAGAUAUAGCCUUUCAACUGCAAUUCACAUUGAAGGAAAACAGUAUGAGGUUGCAGGAGAAAGGUAACC